AGCGUAGACGGCACGGCAAGCCAGAUGUGAAAGCCCGGGGCUCAACCCCGGGACUGCAUUUGGAACUGCUGAGCUAGAGUGUCGGAGAGGCAAGUGGAAUUCCUAGUGUAGCGGUGAAAUGCGUAGAUAUUAGGAGGAACACCAGUGGCGAAGGCGGCUUACUGGACGGUAACUGACGUUGAGGCUCGAAAGCGUGGGGAGCAAACA
rnacentral:rRNA from 1 species